CUUAAACCAGAACAGGAAUAUACUAUACUUGUCCCCGAUCUGAAGUAAGGCAUCAAAGCUCAAAGGCACCCCCACUCCAUCGUCUCCCAAACAUAUAUCAUAACAACAUUCCCAUCAAAAUUCAAAACCAAACCCUAAAAAUUAAAAUUCAACUUCAAUCCUCAGAAAAACCCAAAAAAAAUUUAUAAACCAUUCAACGUAAUCUCUUUUAUUUUGCUUUAAAAGAAAAUAAAGACCUGUUAAUUAGCCCAAUUCCCACCAUCAGCAGCUCAUGGACCUUCAACGCGCUAUGCUAGAUGAACUCAUGGGUGCAGAUCGUAAUUUGACGGAGGAAGAGAGAAAAGAUUACAAGGAAAUAACAUGGGAUUCAAAGGAGGUUUGUGCCUAUUACAUGGCUCGGUUUUGUCCUCAUGACCUCUUUGUCAACACCAAGAGUGAUCUUGGACCAUGUGAUAGAGUUCAUGAUCCAAAGUUGAAAGAAAGCUUUGAGAAGUCCCCAAGUCAUGAUGCAUAUCUUGCCAAAUUUGAAGCUGAACUUGCUCUGAGAUGUGAGAAAUUGGUUAUGGAAUUGGAUAGAAGAGUUAGGCGUGGACGAGAACGCCUAGCUCAAGGGGAUGAACCAGUAGCACCUCCUCCGCUGUCAGCUGACAAGUCUGAACGGUUAUCCGUGGUGGAAGAGAAAAUAAAAAACCUACUGGUGCAAGUGGAAGCCCUUGGUGAAGUUGGGAAGGUGGAUGAAGCUCAAGCUCUUAUGAAAAAGGUGGAUGAACUCAAUGCUGAGAAAGCACUGAUUCAAUCCCAGAAUGAUAAAGUAUUGGUGGUUCCACAGGAGAAAAAGAUGGCUUUGUGUGAGAUUUGUGGUUCUUUUCUAGUUGCGAAUGAUGCUGCAGAGAGAACUCAGUCUCAUGUCACGGGGAAGCAGCACAUUGGAUACGGGAUGGUCCGGGAUUAUAUCACCGAGUACAAGGAAGCUAAGGAGAAGGCAAGGGAAGAGGAAAGACUAGCAAGGGAAAAAGAAGCCGGAGAACGGAAGAAACCAAGGGAGAAGGAAUAUGAGAGUAGUAGUAGGAGGAGUGAUUCAGGUGAUAGGGAUCGGUAUAGAGAAAGGGAGCGGGACCGGGACCGAGAUCGUGAAAGGUCAAGGGAGUGGAAUGGUAGGGGCAGUCGAGGUGAUUGGAGGACUAGGAAUGGAAGAGAUGGUGGGAAGGAUAGGCAUCGUUAUCGGAGCAGGUCACGUUCCCCUGUUAGGCAUGAUCGCAGGAGGUCACCUAGAAGUCCAGUUCGCCCAUAUUAGAGGAUUAUGUUGAUAUAUAUCUGAGUUUAAAAUCAUGAGGUAGACAUUUUUAAUCUCAAAGUUUCAUAAACAUGUGCUUUUGGAGUCUCACGUCAAUUGUCAUCAUGAGUGAAUUUUUUCUUUGCUAUCUCACAGCUUUAUUGAGAGUUUUCCUCUCUUUCAUCAAAUAUUUUUAGAGGAGGAAAGGUUGGAGGUAGGUAUUACUUAAUGCUGUCGUGACUACUUUAUGGUUGAACUAUAUUUUUUUUAUGCAUUUGUCUCUGUAGCAUUGCUUCAGAGUCUAGUAUUUGUCUUCUAUCUUUCUUCAUUGAUGUUCUCAUGUACUUAAGAGGACAGAUUCAAAAUAUGUGCUUGAGUGACACUGCGGCUGAUACUGAUGAUGGUUUAGUGUCUCAAUCUCGAGAAACCCAAAGUUGGACUAUUUUUGCUUGCAACCAUUGCUUGUUAACUAGACAGGGAAAGAAAUUUGGGAAUCGCAAUCCCCGGUGCUAUUAACCAUGUCCCAUUUCAAGUCAGCUUGCAUUUCAUUGUUAGCUCAUUGAUGAUCUAGUAAGUAGGAAAGCUCAAAUCCCCACUUAUUUUGCCUUUGCCAUUGUCAUAUGAAACUCAAAGUGACUGGGUGGUGUGAGCGCUUUGCAAAUAAAUAGGCAGUCUUUGAGGCCAGCUAGAUUGUGUUUUUGGGUGGGUGGAUGACCAGGAAACCUUAACUAUUCAGUUUCAUGGGAUAGCAGGUUUUCGUUUUACAGAGUAGUGGGUGCCUUUGGAGUAAAAAUUUCAAAAGCCAGGAUCGGCCAAGUAUAGGUAACUGCCCUUUACAUAGUAUUUUUUAGAGCUCAGAUGUCUCUUAAAAACUCAAUUGUUUGAACAGUAUUUUUUAUGCUUGCUUGAAAAUCUACUUCAGUGGACUGGAAUCGGAUGCACUUUAACUUGAAAUGGUGUGGUACCUCGAGGUAACUUAAAUCUAUAUGAUAUAUCAAAUAGCAUAUUUCUGUUCCAGCCUGCAGGAAAGACAUGUAAUCGGUUGAACUUGGAUGGCAGAGUUGCCGGGGGUAAGUAAGGACCUGAUGUGAUUUGGGGAUGUUUUGUGCAUGGGAAUGGGAUAUUAAAAUCUGGCUGGUGCCAUCUUAUUGAAAUUGAACAAUGUCAGAUUGGAAAAUUUGUAAUGACAAUUUGCGGUUGGAAAGUUUUGCGACCUUGCAUUGCUUGAACUAAACUAAUGUUGUAAUUCUAGCAUAUGGAUUUUGUUUCA